UAAGGAAUAUUGGACAAUGGUCGCAAGACUGAUCCAGCCAUGCCGCGUGCAGGAAGACGGCCCUAUGGGUUGUAAACUGCUUUUGUACCAGAGAAAACCUAUCUACGUGUAGAUAGCUGAUAGUAUGGUAAGAAUAAGCAUCGGCUAACUUCGUGCCAGCAGCCGCGGUAAGACGAAGGAUGCAAGCGUUAUCCGGAUUCAUUGGGCUUAAAGGGUGCGUAGGCGGGCUUGUAAGUCAGUGGUGAAAUCUCUAAGCUUAACUGAGAAACUGCCAUUGAUACUGCAGGCCUAGAGUAUAGAUGACGUUGGCGGAAUAUGACAUGUAGUGGUGAAAUACUUAGAUAUGUCAUAGAACACCGAUUGCGAAGGCAGCUAACGAAACUAUAACUGACGCUGAGGCACGAAAGUGCGGGGAUCAAACA
rnacentral:rRNA from 1 species